rnacentral:rRNA from 1 species
UGGGAACGUGCCCAAAGGUACGGAACAACUCCGGGAAACUGGAGCUAAUACCGUAUGUGCCCGAGAGGGGAAAGAUUUAUCGCCUUUGGAUCGGCCCGCGUCUGAUUAGCUAGUUGGUAGGGUAAUGGCCUACCAAGGCGACGAUCAGUAGCUGGUCUGAGAGGAUGGCCAGCCACACUGGGACUGAGACACGGCCCAGACUCCUACGGGAGCAG